AUUGAACGCUGGCGGCAUGCCUUACACAUGCAAGUCGAACGGCAGCACGGGUGCUUGCACCUGGUUGCGAGUGGCGAACGGGUGAGUAAUACAUCGGAACAUGUCCUGUAGUGGGGGAUAGCCCGGCGAAAGCCGGAUUAAUACCGCAUACGAUCUACGGAUGAAAGCGGGGGACCUUCGGGCCUCGCGCUAUAGGGUUGGCCGAUGGCUGAUUAGCUAGUUGGUGGGGUAAAGGCCUACCAAGGCGACGAUCAGUAGCUGGUCUGAGAGGACGACCAGCCACACUGGGACUGAGACACGGCCCAGACUCCUACGGGAGGCAGCAGUGGGGAAUUUUGGACAAUGGGCGAAAGCCUGAUCCAGCAAUGCCGCGUGUGUGAAGAAGGCAUUCGGGUUGUAAAGCACUUUUGUCCGGAAAGAAAUCCUUGGCCCUAAUACGGUCGGGGGAUGACGGUACCGGAAGAAUAAGCACCGGCUAACUACGUG
rnacentral:rRNA from 1 species